AUACGGAGGGUGCGAGCGUUAAUCGGAAUUACUGGGCGUAAAACGUACGUAGGCGGUUGGUUAAGUUAGAUGUGAAAGCCCCGGGCUUAACCUGGGAACUGCAUUUAAAACUGGCGAACUAGAGUUGAGUAGAGGGGAGUGGAAUUUCAGGUGUAGCGGUGAAAUGCGUAGAGAUCUGAAGGAACACCAGUGGCGAAGGCGACUCCCUGGACUCGAACUGACGCUGAGGUACGAAAGCGUGGGUAGCAAACGGGAUUAGAAACCCUUGUAGUCC
rnacentral:rRNA from 1 species